UUAUACUAACAACAUGCAUUUGCUUUUUGGUAGCUUAUCUCAUCAGAACUUCACAGUUAAGCAUGCUUGACUUGGAGUAAUAUAGGGAUGGGUGACCUUUGGGAAGUUUCCAAAAAUUGUGUAAU
rnacentral:rRNA from 1 species